rnacentral:rRNA from 1 species
AACGAACGCUGGCGGCAUGCCUAACACAUGCAAGUCGAACGAGACCUUCGGGUCUAGUGGCGCACGGGUGCGUAACGCGUGGGAACCUGCCCUUAGGUUCGGAAUAACUCCCCGAAAGGGGUGCUAAUACCGGAUAAUGUCUUCGGACCAAAGAUUUAUCGCCUUUGGAUGGGCCCGCGUUGGAUUAGCUAGUUGGUAGGGUAAAAGCCUACCAAGGCGACGAUCCAUAGCUGGUCUGAGAGGAUGAUCAGCCACACUGGGACUGAGACACGGCCCAGACUCCUACGGGAGGAAGCAGUGGGGAAUAUUGGACCAUGGGCGAAAGCCUGAUCCAGCAAUGCCGCGUGAGUGAUGAAGGCCUUAGGGUUGUAAAGCUCUUUUACCCGGGAUGAUAAUGACAGUACCGGGAGAAUAAGCGCCGGCUAACUCCGUG